AUAAAAAAAAAUUUUUAUAAUUUUUUUUAUUCAUUCCGUACAGCCGACUGCACACCGACUGCAUUUGCCGACUGUAUGUAGCAAAGCCCUUGAUGUCCCCAUCCCCUUGUUUUCCCUCUCCCAAACCCUUCCAUUCAUUUCUUCUUCUCCAUCCUCCCUUUCGUUUUCCCCUUCUCCUUUUCAUUUUUUUUUUCUUUUUCAAAUAUUCUCCUUCUCACUCCAGAUUGUGCCCCUUCGUGUUUCCAUCCUCCCCCAUUCUUCUUUAUUUAUCCUAAAUUUAUUCUAUUCCCUCAUUGCAUUGUCCUCGGAUACAAUUCCAGUGGUUUGGCCAGGCAAUAAUCCUGGAAAGUGAAGGUUGUGAACCCUGAUCAUAAGUCCAUCAUUUUAUUUAAUGAAAGAGGCCAAUUCCUGAUAACACUCGUGCAACUUCUUAUCCUGUCGUCAAGACAAAAAAUCCCACAUGAGAUCUAAUCCUACCAUUUCUGGAUAACAUCUAAAUGGUUCUAUGCUUGCUAGUUCAAACACUUGCCAGAUGCAAAAACUCUUCGCCGAUCCGUGGAAGAACCCACGAAUAGAGCCCACGGUAAACAGAUUGAUUUUUGCCAACCCAUGAAGAGAAGCUCGGCAUGAAGAGAAGCUUUAUUCCGCAUGAAGAGGAGCUCCACGAAGACGAAGAGAAGCUCCUUCUGCCGGUAUAUUUCUUAGUUUUCAUCUUUUCGCGUUUUCUCUUUUCAAUAUUUGUUUUUUUUUUUUAAAAAAAAAAAGCGCUGACAUGGCAUGUGGAUUGCACCGCGGUUACGCAUAAUCGACUGUCAGUAGAAGAACUAUUCUCAAAUUUAUAGUUGAAGUAAUCAAACCUUGUUUGUUUGGACUUUGGAGGUUGUCCACCAUCCAGCCGAAGAAAUUAAAAACAAAUAGAUCCCUAGAAGUUAAGAAUAAUUACAUAAUUUUGAGUUUUUCUAACAGAAUGAUUGUUCAUCCAGUUAAAAACAGGGUACACUUUCUAGCGGUCUCAACAAUAUAAUAAUUCUACAAUGUCCUCUAGGGGAAACAGCAAUAUACGAACCUCUCCCAUUUGCUUGUUUCGGAUUAAUCUCCCCGUUUUCUUGAAUACAACAAAGCCAAGGCUACUUGAUCUUUAUCAUAUAGUCUUUUAGAUAUCUCACUAGACAGGAGGAGCUCUGUGAUAUGCCGCCGGAAUGGUUGCGGGGAAGAACAUCUGCCUCACUCCCUCUGCCUUGAUGAUUGGGAAUAUUAUACCAGAUGCACUCUGGAAAAGAUAAAAGCUGUUCAAUGGGCAUUGGGAUUUCAAGGGAAUUUCGUGCCUCAGAAACAAAGAUAGAAAUACAAACAUAUAUAUAUUUAUAUAUAUCAGCGUAGCUCAACAUUUUACAAGAAUCAAGGAAAAAUGAUAGGGAAUACACACCGAGAUCAACCUAGCUCCAAUCAACAAGCGUUUAGGUGAAGGAAAUGGAAGAAGCAGACGGCCAACGCCAUAUAUUGCGACAGCAAAGAAAUGGAGAACUAAACUCAUUGGACGUGGGUUUAGACCGGAGAGUAAAGCCACGGGUCCUGUGGAACACAUUCCUCCGAGGCUUAAAUAGUCAAAACAUGCUUGACGCAUCUCCUUCCUUGCUUGAU